AUUGAACGCUGGCGGCAGGCCUAACACAUGCAAGUCGAGCGGAGCGGCGGACGGGUGAGUAAUGCCUAGGAAUCUGCCUGGUAGUGGGGGAUAACGUCCGGAAACGGGCGCUAAUACCGCAUACUAUCAGAUGAGACUAGAUCUGAUUAGCUAGUUGUGGGGGUAAAGGCCUAACAAGGCGACGAUCCGUAACUGGUCUGAGAGGAUGAUCAGUCACACUGGAACGGAGACACGGUCCAGACUCCUACGGGAGGCAGCAGUGGGGAAUAUUGGACAAUGGGCGAAAGCCUGAUCCAGCCAUGCCGCGUGGUUGAAGAAGGUCUUCGGAUUGUAAAGCACUUUAAGUUGGGAGGCGUUACCAACAGAAUAAGCACCGGCUAACUUCGUGCCAGCAGCCGCGGUAAUUC
rnacentral:rRNA from 1 species